GGAGCAAAUCCCAGACAUUAUAUAAUUUCAUCUGUACAGAUUUCAGCGUGUAUUCAAUAGGUCUCUCUCUAAAAGAGCUCCCUGAAGAGGAUCUCACUUUGUCUUUGUCUAACUUAAAAGCCCUGCGGUUUUUCCCUAAACAAAAGCACCAUCUUCCCCAUGGACAAAUUUGAGCCUCCACCUCCAAAGAAGCAGAAGAAUUACUGGCGGCUUUCGAACGUCGACGUCAUGCUGCUGGCUGUCAAGGUUUCAAAACAUGUAUGCGUGCAGUUUCAGCUAGAACAUCUCAGAGCACGCGGCAUGUUAUUUUCUGUCUCCUGUGCUGCAAGGCCUGCAAGUGAUUUCACGGAGGGCUGAGAGUGCCUGAAUUUGGCUACAAGAGGAAAACAAUUGCGGUUUGUCUUGGGCCAAGUUUCAGGGUGACGAUUGCAUUAUGUUCCACGCACAGCAGCCCAGCGGGCAGGACAGAGCUGGGUGGUGGAAGGCAUUGCUUAGCAUUCAGGGCAGGACGCUUCUAAUCUCAGCAAGCUGUGUCCCUAGGGGCUUGCUGGCUUUGUGAACCACCUUGGAGCCACGUGACUGGAGGGUGAGCCUCAGGACCCGCCUUCCCCAACUCCACCAGGGACACGGCUGCAUUCUCUUCUAUGCAGUAGUUUUCAACCUAAGAUUUUGUUGUGGGGGAAAAAAAUUUACUGUAAAAUUAAAUAAAAAGUUUGGAAAUCA